AGCGAACGCUGGCGGCAGGCCUAACACAUGCAAGUCGAGCGCCGUAGCAAUACGGAGCGUCAGACGGGUGAGUAACGCGGGGGAACAUACCCUUUUCUACGGCAUAGCUCUGGGAAACUGGAAUUAAUACCGUAUACGACCUACGGGGGAAAGAUUUAUCGGGGAAGGAUUGGCCCGCGUUGGAUUAGCAAGUUGGGGGGGUAAAGGCCUACCAAGGCGACGAUCCAUAGCUGGUCUGAGAGGAUGAUCAGCCACAUUGGGUCUGAGACACGGCCCAAACUCCUACGGGAGGCAGCAGUGGGGGAUAUUGGACAAUGGGCGCAAGCCUGAUCCAGUCAUGCCGCGUGAGUGAUGAAGGCCUUAGGGUUGUAAAGCUCUUUCACCGAUGAAGAUAAUGACGGUAGUCGGAGAAGAAGCCCCGGCUAACUUCGUGCCAGCCGCCGCAGUAACAC
rnacentral:rRNA from 1 species